rnacentral:rRNA from 1 species
CUGGCGGCAGGCUUACACAUGCNAGUCGAACGGUAGCAGGAGGAAGCUUGCUUUCUUGCUGACGAGUGGCGGACGGGUGAGUAAUGCUUGGGAAUCUGGCUUAUGGAGGGGGAUAACUACUGGAAACGGUAGCUAAUACCGCGUAAUAUCGAGAGAUUAAAGGGUGGGACUUUCGGGCCACCUGCCAUAAGAUGAGCCCAAGUGGGAUUAGGUAGUUGGUGGGGUAAAGGCCUACCAAGCCUGCGAUCUCUAGCUGGUCUGAGAGGAUGGCCAGCCACACUGGAACUGAGACACGGUCCAGACUCCUACGGGAGGCAGCAGUGGGGAAUAUUGCACAAUGGGGGGAACCCUGAUGCAGCCAUGCCGCGUGAAUGAAGAAGGCCUUCGGGUUGUAAAGUUCUUUCGGUGAUGAGGAGGGUGUUUUGUUUAAUAGACAAAGCAAUUGACGUUAGUCACAGAAGAAGCACCGGCUAACUCCGUGCCAGCAGCCGCGGUAAU